CGGCUCAAUAUCUUUUUGGUCCCUGUGCUCCAACCAAAAAAGGGCCCUUUGUUCUCUGUAUUUUUCUUCUAGAUUUUUUAAAAAUACAUCAUAAAACACUAAAAAAUAAGGAAAAAAUUUUGGGGACCCUGUGCUAGUGCACCGCUUGCACACCCUUAGAGCCGGGCCUGCAUUAAACCCCGUCUGCGAUUGAUAAAACCCGUCUGUGAUCGAUAGAAACUGCCAGUGACCGAAAGCCAGUGCUAUCGACCAAGAAGCCAACGACAACGAUCAAGAAGCAACUGACGGUCGAAUGGCUAACUACGGUUGUCAAUCUCUAGUUACUUAACGAAGGGCAGAUCUCGUUUAACGGUUUAAGACAGAUGUUUACGGUUUCGGUGUGUUGGUUGAUUCUUGAGAUCUUGAGUGGUAAGAGUAUGUGGAAUACGGAAAUGGGGGAGAACGGGGAGGAUCUUGUAACAUACGUAAGUAUACUCACUGACUGCAAGGCAAAGAAGAUGCACAUUGCACAAGGCAAAAAAAACCACUGAAACCAGAGGACUCCAACUUAGAAAUACAUGAUAGGGGAGAUACAUUGACUUGCAUUAGCAUUGGUCUGGUAUGCGCUGAAUAUAAUCCUUCAGACAGGGCAAAAUGAGGAAUCUACGUCAGAUGCUAGAAAAAACCAACCGCUCUCAGGCAUCAUCAGAGCAGAGAAUUGCAAAAGGAAGAAAAAUCUGGAGUACAUGUUUGAGGUAAUGAGACCGUACAUGUUUUUACAUCUUUUUUAAAAUGUGAUUGAAUUAUAAAGUCUGCUUUUGUG